CCUAGGAGACUCCCAUCAGCAACCCUAAUCUCUCUAAACAACACUAGCCGUCACCCCCACUCCGCCGAGACUCGCCGGAAUCCUCCAUAACCACCAAAUCAACCACCUCACUUCAUCUUCUUCGUCAUCUCGAGCACACCCAAAACUAGAACCCUUCAACAGCCUUCACCAACCAGAACUCGAUCCCAACUCCGUUCCGCCGCUGCUAUCUCUGCCAGACCUCCUCCUCACGCCGCGGCACGCACACCACUCGAACCCUAAUUCCUCUCCAACAUACACAAAAGACCACCGCUGCUUUCCUCUAGCGAACUCCUCAAAAACAACUAAACACCCAGCGACCCAUCUCCUUAACUCCAACCAGCUGCACCGUCUUCUUCACUUCACAGCCGGCGAGACCACCUUCAAUUCCACGUCACAGCCAGCUUUAAGGGUCUGAAAAAUCUAGGCUUACGCAUUGCACGAUAACGUCAAGCAGUUGUAGAUGGACUGAUAGACAAUGAGCAUGAAUUGAGGAUAGAGGGGUCGUGAACAGUGAUUAAAGUGUGGGUUUGAAUUCUUGUUUGGUUGUCGGUGCCAAUUCGAGUUUUCAUCCACGGUUCGUUGCAUUUUCGAGUUCAAAACAGUGAAACAAUUAAUUUCCAUCUACAUUGAGAUACAGGUACGUCUACAUGUGCUGGACGUUAGUGUUUAUUGUAGCUAUCAUCUGGAGACUUCAAGGUGUACCUGCUUGACGCCGUAGGCCUCGGAGUCACCUUCUGUUACCCUUAUUAUAUUGUUGUUUCCUUUAUUAGACGGUGGUAGGUGUUCUGGAACAUUUCUGUAAAAGCUUAUGACGCAGUCUCACCGGAUUUUUGGAGCAUUGUAGUUGUGUUUCAGUUAUCGAGAUGUUUAUGAGAA